ACUUCCUCCUAAAUAGAGGCCCUGUCUGAUAUGGCCGAGAUCAGCGUUGGGCUGCCACUAAAAAGGUAGCGACGGCUAUCAGCAUUUAGCACCUGACCGUCACCCCCUUUAAUCCCGUCCUUUCUUUCCUGGUACAAGCUCCAAUCCAAUGAUUUCUCUAGGGUUUUGACAGCCCAAAAAAAUAAUUCUCUCUGGGGAUUUCGCGUCAAGAAGAAUCUCGGCCAUCAUUCUCUGCGUCGUCGAGUAAACUCCAUGAAUUGAAAUGUGUCAGUAUCGACCAUGGGAAGAUGAUUCAGCACAAAUUGAAGAUUAUGAACAACGUACUAGAAAUAACACAGGGCAUGUAGAUACAAGGUUGGAGGCUCGGGUAGCUUUAUUGGAGGCACGGAUGGCAAAUGUUGAGGCUCGAGUGGAAAGGCUUGAGGCGAAGAUGUUCUUUUUGCAAAAGGGAAUGCGUGUAGUGUGUGCUUUGUUUUUGGUCACUCUUGCAUAUGCUGUAUGUAAAUGAAUUCUGGAGAUGAUUCACUCAUUAGUCUCAGGCUUGUAUCUGCGCUGCUCUUAAUGAGAUACACUGGAAAAUGUGUUUCAUAAAAUGAAGAAUGUUUGUGCCCACAUAAAAGGCGGAAAGAUGACUAUAUAUACAAAUACCUAAUGUCCACUAGAGUAGAAGAUGGCCCGCAGGGAGGACUAAGUUAUGGGACCUGGUAUUUGUUAAUGUAUCCGCUUAUUACGGCUUUUGUCUGAAUGGCAAUUACCAAUUAUGAUGCUA